GUCAUGUUUGGGUCAACUACUGCUUAACCUAACUUGCCUACUGCUAUAUUUGCGGUGUCUGAAACUAACGCAGCAGGCAAGUUAGGUUCAGAAACAGUUGGUCCGAGAACAAUAGUCUGACCCAACAUGACUGCUCAGCCAGAUUUAAAAAAAAAAAAAAAUAUUAUUCAUUGCGUUUCCUUAAAACCCUGCCUUGCUUGCCCAAAUCUAGGCUGCAGGAGUCUUG